AAGAGUUUGAUCAUGGCUCACAGUGAACUGCUGGCGGUAGGCCUAACACAUGCAAGUCGAACGGCAGCACAGGAGAGCUUGCUCUCUGGGUGGCGAGUGGCGGACGGGUGAGGAAUACAUCGGAAUCUACUCUGUCGUGGGGGAUAACGUAGGGAAACUUACGCUAAUACCGCAUACGACCUACGGGUGAAAGCAGGGGACCUUCGGGCCUUGCGCGAUUGAAUGAGCCGAUGUCGGAUUAGCUAGUUGGCGGGGUAAAGGCCCACCAAGGCGACGAUCCGUAGCUGGUCUGAGAGGAUGAUCAGCCACACUGGAACUGAGACACGGUCCAGACUCCUACGGGAGGCAGCAGUGGGGAAUAUUGGACAAUGGGCGCAAGCCUGAUCCAGCCAUACCGCGUGGGUGAAGAAGGCCUUCGGGUCGUAAAGCCCUUUUGUUGGGAAAGAAAUCCAGCUGGCUAAUACCCGGUUGGGAUGACGGUACCCAAAGAAUAAGCACCGGCUAACUUCGUGCCAGCAGCCGCGGUAAUACGAAGGGUGCAAGCGUUACUCGGAAUUACUGGGCGUAAAGCGUGCGUAGGUGGUCGUUUAAGUCCGUUGUGAAAGCCCU
rnacentral:rRNA from 1 species